rnacentral:rRNA from 1 species
GAAUAUUGGGCAAUGGAGGCAACUCUGACCCAGCCAUCCCGCGUGCAGGAUGAAGGAUCUAUGGUUCGUAAACUGCUUUUAUCAGGGAAGAAAAAGACUCAUUUAUGAGUAACUGACGGUACCUGAUGAAUAAGCACCGGCUAACUCCGUGCCAGCAGCCGCGGUAAUACGGAGGGUGCAAGCGUUAUCCGGAUUCACUGGGUUUAAAGGGUGCGUAGGCGGCUAUAUAAGUCAGUGGUGAAAGCCCGCAGCUCAACUGCGGAAUUGCCAUUGAAACUGCAUAGCUUGAAUCUGGUUGAAGUGGGCGGAAUACAUCAUGUAGCGGUGAAAUGCUUAGAUAUGAUGUAGAACACCGAUUGCGAAGGCAGCUCACUAAGCCAACAUUGACGCUGAGGCACGAAAGCGUGGGUAGCGAACAG